GUACUUGUACUUCCUCUUCAAAUCUCAAAUCAGCAGAAUUACUAGAACUCACUGCAUGUUGGUGUUUCACAUUUUUGUAAUCACCUGGGUGGCUUUUUUUGAGCUUGCUUUCGUUGUUGCUAGCUGAAGUGAAUUUCAAGCAGUAUGGUGACCUGACUACGAUUUUGUAGAAUAGAAUAAAACACAAUCAUGCAUCCAGGAUGGCUUCCCAUGUAAUGGAAUUCAAUCUCCAAAUCUGAACAGUUGCCAACUACUGCCUAUACAAAGAACCCAGUCCGUCUUGAUCAUGUCUGCAUCGUCAACAAACGAGAAUAAGCUGCACCAUUUCACCGCGGGUGCAAUCGGUGGGGUGUUCUCAGUUGCGUCUGGCCAUCCAUUUGAUACCAUAAAGGUGCGACUGCAGACAAUGUACCGGGCUCCAGCCCUGGGUCAGCGCACAUUCACUGGUCUUGCUGACUGUGGCAUGCAGACCAUACGCCAUGAGGGUGUGGCUGGUCUGUUCAAGGGUCUUGUACCCCCUAUGCUAGCUGCUGUUCCAUCCAAUGCCUCUUUCUUCAUGGGCUUAGCUGUUGGCAGAUCUCUUUUCGGCAAAGCUCAAGAGGACAUGUCGAAGACUGAAUCGUUUCUAUCAGGGUGUGUCGGCGGCUGCUUUCUUGUUUUGGUCCAUACACCUGCGGAGCGUAUCAAAUGUAUCUUGCAGACAAGACAGCAAAACAGCAGUAGAUCACAACUGCACAAUGUCUGGGACUGUGCACGGACCAUUGUUCGGCAAGAGGGCUUCUCUGGGUUCUACCGAGGCGCCUGCAUCACAGCUGUAAGAGAUGUUCCAACGGGUGGUGCUUACAUUCUAACCUACUACUCGCUGAGGAAUGCUAUGGGCGGCAGCGACAGCAGCAAUGAGAAGGACACCGGUGGAAGCAUCAGCGGCAACAGUAGCAAGCUGUCCCAAGCUGGCACCAUCAUGCUUGCUGGUGGACUGGCUGGAAUGGUGGACUGGACAUUGUCGAUUGCACCGGACACACUGAAAUCACGUGUACAAACAGCGCCACCAGGGAUGUAUCCCAGAGGUGCACGUGAUGCCUUGCGUGAUUUGAUGGCUACGGAAGGUCCCAGAGGAUUGUUUCAUGGGCUGUCAGCGGUGUUACUCCGGUCAUUCAUAUCCAACGCUUUCUGCAUGUUGGGAUAUGAGUUCACUCUCCGUCUGUUAUCACAUGCUAAUGGAUGACAUGACGUACACAUAGCAGCUGCAAUGAAGAAAGAAAAAGAGCUACAGAGGCAACUGACUUAGUGUGUGCGAUGUAGACAAUCAGUACCCGUAUUGUACUUGCCGUACAUCUGGGAUUGGCUAAGAGAGUACAAGUGGAACUGAACAGGCAACACCGUGCACAGCUGAUUACAUCCAAGAAUCCUCUGACGAAUCCAGUGGACAGAUCUAUGCCAAGCAGCUUGGUUGCCAAGAACCCUGUGAAAAAUCGAUUGGGCAGGUCCAUGGGAAGCAGUUUGGUUGCCAAGAGGACAAAUCCAGUGGACAGAUCUAUGUGAAGCAGUUUGGUUGCAAGAAGCCGAGCAGGCGCGAUGAGGCGGCUCUGGAACAGCUGAGCUUGCUAUCGCAGCAGAAUCAAUACUGCGGCUUGCAUGCAGCAUUCUUUGCGAAUAUCUGCGCUAUACGCCAACCGUGCAAAUCAUUCAGGUAGCAGUGGUGCGGCCAACUCUGCUAGCCUUUGGGACAGCUACUCCCAGCACAUGGUAUUGGGCUAGUGAAAUUACAAACGGAUCUAAAAGUGUAUUUGUGAAUGCUAUUCUAGACUAUUCGUGCAAGGACUGACUGCUUUAUUGGCGUUUGUUUGCCAAUCUCUUUAAAGUUUGAGAACAAGAUCCUGUCGGAAUUUAGCUUAUUAUCUUGCCAAUGCUUCCCCACUGCAAGACUUCAAACUCACUGGUACUCGUCAAUGUACAGCUUGCCUUUAUUUUCAAUUUUCCAUAUUCCUCCCACAUCGAGAUGAAGACAAUAAUUGUGCUAUUUCGUACUUCAGUGUCCACCUACACUUAUGUAGCGCCAUAGCCACUGUGGUAUGUGUAACAUGUUUGCGCUGUCUA